rnacentral:rRNA from 1 species
AAUUAUUUAAGAGCCGCGGUAUAUUGACCGUGCAAAGGUAGCAUAAUAAUUAGGGGUUUAAUUGGAACCUAGUAUGAAGGGUUGGACAAAGGAAAAACUGUCUUUAUAGCGAAAGUCGAAUUUUACUUUUAAGUGAGAAGGCUUAAAUGAAUCAAAGGGACGAUAAGACCCUAUAAAGCAUUUUGUUGGGGUGAUGUGAGUAUAACUAUUAACUGCUUAAAAAAGAUUCUAUUAUAAGAGACGUGAUCCUUUUUAAAGAUUAGAAGACUAAGUUACUUUAGGGAUAACAGCGUUAUUUCUCUUGAGAGUUCAUAUCGAAAGAGAAGAUUGCGACCUCGAUGUUGAAUUAAAGUAUCUAUAUAAUGCAGCCGUUAUAAAAGAGGGUCUGUUCGACCUUUAAACCUUU